GUGGGUGUGCCGGAGUGGUUAUCGGGCAUGACUAGAAAUCAUGUGGGUUUUUACCCGCGCAGGUUCGAAUCCUGUCGCUCACG